rnacentral:rRNA from 1 species
GACUACCGGGGUAUCUAAGCCCAUUCGCUCCCCACGCUUUCGUGCCUGAACGUCAGAACUGUUCCAGUAAGCUGCCUUCGCUUUUGGUGUUCCUGCUGAUAUUAACGGAUUUAACCCCUACACCAGCAAUUCCGCUUACCUCUUCCAGCCUCUAGUUUAUCCAUAUCUCCCGCGGCCCCAAGGUUGAGCCUUGGGAUUUAACAGGAGAUGUUAUAAACCGUCUGCGCACGCUUUACGCCCAAUAAAUCCGGAUAACGCUCGGGGUACUCGUAUUACCGCUGCUGCUGGCACGAGUUUAGCAACCCCUUAUUCCUCUAGUACCGUCAUUGUUUCUUCCUAGAGAAAAGCAGUUUACACCCCGAAGGGCUUCCUCCUGCACGCGAUGUCGCUCCUUCAGCCUUUCGGCCAUUGAGGAAGAUUCUCGACUGCAGCCCCCCGUAGG